rnacentral:lncRNA from 1 species
UCAUAGUUACGCAGAUUUGCUUAAAUUCGGGGAAAUUGGGCGGCCUCAAGAAAAAAACAAAAACCUAACAAGGUUGAUUGAUAACAGACACUGCAAAAUUGAACGCACAUGUGUUUUCCCUCUCCAUCAUUAAUAUCAUAACCUAACUCUCAGAAUCUUUAAUUCUUCCUACCCACUUUCUUACCACACACUGACACAUCAACACCAACACCAGUAAUAAUUUCAACACCAGUAAUAAUUUUAAAAAAAAUGAAUGAAUCGAAUGUAAUCACAACGGAUUUCAGAAACGUCACUGCUACAGUGCUCCUUACACCAUGUUUUGAAGAUCCUUACGAACAAGUAAAACAAAUAAGAUCUUUUGUAAUGUACUUGGCAUGAUCAGCAUGAUCACAAUGAGUUUGAACAAACAACAUAGCUAAAAAAACAAUCUCUCUACAAUAGAAAUACAUCAAAACAUACCAAAUUAAAUAGAAAGGCGAAUCAAAAACAGAAAAUGGAAGAAAAGUAAGAAAAACAGAGUAGUGAAAAUCACCUCGUAUAGCAUAGAUAGUGAAGAUCUGAAGAAGAAAAGUGAUUAGGGUUUAUCUUGUUGCGUGAGUGUAACGAAGAAGAGAAGAAGGAGCUGCCAUGGCAGUAUAGAGAAAAGAAGGUUUUUAGGUUGUUAGAGAAAUAUGAGAAAACCGAGGACGCGUAGUGCGUUGCUUAUAACCUUGGGAAUGUUGUAGUACUUUUAUUUUAAAUAUAUUAUUAUUCUACCUUCAAAAUCAAUUAAUUGAUUUUGAAUAUAAAAUAAUAAUUUUUUUUAUUUUUUUUAUUUUUUAAUUAGAUAUAAUGAUAUGAGUCAAAACAAGAUAAUGAUUAAUAUUAUUUAUUGUAUUUUAUAUUUAAUAUUUUGAACUUUAUAUUUAUGAUAUCGUUGAAUGAAUUAAUAUAUAGUAAAAUAUUAUUGUAAAUGUUAUUCUAUUUUAUUUUUUAAAAAAAUUUGAUAUUCAACUAUUCUGCUAAUAUAUUGUUUUUAAUAGAGUAACACUUUAUGGAUAUUAUUCAUGUAUUUAUUAUUUUAUUAAGAUUAUUUAUAUAGUGAUAAAAUGAGUUUGAAAUUGACUACAUUUAGCCCUUGAGAUUUUUAACAAUAUAGAAAUUGUUAUUUUUUCUUUUAUGGGCUUGUAAUUUUUUUUAUGUUUUCUUAAAUCAGCUUUUUUCUUAUUGACCAAAAUAUUUCAUUUUACUAUAAAAAAAUAUUAUUACUUCUCUGCCUAUAAUAAUGAUCACGUUUACAAUUAAAAUUUAUUUAAAAAGAUUGUCAAAUAUAAUAUUAAUUAUUAUAUUUUUAUUUGUACUCUUAAUCUCAAUUUAUUGCUAUUCGUUUUAUAUUUAUGAGAGUGUAAGAUAAAUAAUGAUAUGAAAUAACAUUUUUUUUAAUUUAUAUAAAUAUACUAAAUGAGAUUAUUAUUAUAGAAUAAAAGGAAUAUCCUAACGAAUAAUAUAUAUUUAAAAGUUUACAUCAUAAUGUAUUAAUAUUGUAAAAAUUUACAAUAAAUUCUGUUAUACUGCACAAUUAAUUUAUAAAUAUGAAUGCGAUCUGGCACCUCACGGUGAUUGAUUAAAAAUGUAAUAUAAUAAUUUAUUUUUAUAUAUCAAAUCGGUGUGAUUUAUUUUUCUAAACAAAUUGACAGAUCAGAAAUUAUAGAAGGUGAACUUUGGUAUAAUUUUUUUUGUAUGAUUUUAUUAGAACAAAUUUCUUAAAAAGAGUCAUCUUUUAAAUAGACGUUGAGUUUUCAUCUUUUAUAUAGUUAUAAUACGCAUGUCGCUGCUCUAAACAUAUAUGCUUAAAAUUCAAAAUAAUAUAUUCCAAAUAUAUAUGCUUAAAAUUCAAAAUAAUGUUUAAAUACAGGUCGAUAGUAAAUUAAUUUUAAGCAACUCAUGUGUUCAAAGGAUGUUACAUAAAUAUUUUUGAAAUUUAAUAAGAAUAAGAAUUUAUUUUCAUUCAAAUUUGAAAAAAUAAUAUCGUUAAGGAUCAUUUUGCAACAAAUAAAACAUUCAAUUAAAAUUGUUAGUUUUAAAUUUUUUUUAUAAUUAUAUUGAUGAAAAAAAUUAAACUAUUAAGAAUAAAUUUAUGAAAAAAAUGUCUUGCCAUAAAGUAGUUUUUUUAAUAAAAAAACUUGUCCAUAAAAUAAUUACGUGUAGUUAACUUUUUUUUAAAUGAUAUUUUUAUUUUUCUUUAAGUUAGUGGAAACUAUAAGAUUUUUUACUAGUUAGUUUGUCAAAUGUAUGUAAAUUCAAGAAAAAUAAUGGGUUUGGACUUUGUGAGCAAAUGGAGGUGGUACUUGAUUUUUGAGUCCAUCCGUUUUUUGAGUGAUAUUUUGAUUGUUAGAUAUGAGAUUCAGGUUGUCACCUCAUUUAGAGGAUAUAAGGUGUCAAGACUUCAAUUUAUUUCUCCUUGGUGAAUAAGAGUCUCCAUUCUAGAUUCUAAAUUUACUGACUCAUCAUAUUGGUCUGCGAAUGAUUUGAGGCGGAAGGUGGUAUCAGGUAUGUUGACAUCUUUUUGGAAUGAUCCUUGGAUGGGACAUAUCCCUCUUAAAGUUUCUUUUGACAGAUUUUUCCUAUUCUCUUAAUGAAAAAGGAGUAAGGGGAGUGAUUUUGGUUUUUGGAAGAUGCGAUCAUGAUCUGGAAUUAUCUUUAGAGGAGACCUCUCUUUGGCUAUGAUCAAGAUUUGGUGGAUGAUCUUAUUCUGACCAUUUAUAGUGUUACUCUCUCGUUGGAGAGCGAUUAUUGAUGUUGGUCGCAGGAAUAGAAUAAUAUGUACAAUAUCGGAUUUGUCUACUAGAAUCUUUUUGAGUCACAUGCUUUUAUUUCUACCUUUCCAUCUUACUUAGGUUGUUCAUUAGCUUUCAUUUUGGAUGGUUUGACUCCCUCUAAAGUAGUAGUCUUUUCUUGACAGUUUCUCCAAGAUGACAUCUCGGCUAGAAAUAAUAUGCGUAUCAGGCGUGUUGUUCUAGAUCCUACUGAUCUUUCUUGUGGGUUAUGUGCUACGAUUUAGAGUCACUCUCACACUUGUUUAUCAUUUGUUCUAUUUCUACAACCAUGUGGUAUAAGAUAUUUUGAUGACCGAGGAGAGUAGUUGUCUUAUCCGGUGGUAUUCUAUCUCAGGUUGAGAUUUUUUUUCCUACUUAGAGGAUUUGGUUAGGAUUAAAGGUGGUCUUGUCAUAAUUUGACAUUUAGUCAUGUAAACUUUAUGGAGAACCACGAAUAAUUUAAUUUUUAAAGGAUUGUCGUUUGACAAGGAGAUCUUGGAAGAUAAGUGUAUCUCGCUGACUUGAAAAUAGUUUCUUGGAUAAGUCGUUGAAGCAUGCUUAUUCUUUCUCUAAUUGGCUAGCAAUCUUAUCAUUUGCAUGCGCUAAUUAUGAUUCAAGUGCGUCUUCUAAUUUUUUAGGGGUGUGGUCCUAAGUUGCAUGUGGAGGUUUCUGCUAUGUCGAUGGUGGUUUGUUUUUCUUGUGCUAUAGCCUCAUUCUUUUGAUAAUAACUCUGAAUUUUUUGAAACGUGAUGAUCUUGUUUUGAUUUUUAUAUCACUUUUUAUUCUUUAAUGAGUUUUUAUGUAGAUAUUGUCAUUGAUUAACUUUUAUCUUGUCAUUCUAUAAAUUUAAUUAUGUGUGUAGUUAACUUUUGAGACGCAUUUAUAUAUAAUGGUAUAUAUUAACUUUCUUGACAACGAUGAUAUCAUUAAUAAUUUAAACAAUGGUGUAUUUACAUUCUUUUUAGUUUUAAAAAAAGUUAGAACCCUUAGAGAUAACUUUUUUUUGACACAUCCUUAGAGAUAACUUUAAAAUUUCAAGAAAAUUAUAGUACACAACUGAUCUAAACAUACAUUAAACUAAUCUCAAAUAACACAUUUUGAAAAGGUUAAAGUUAGACGUAGUUGAAAAGAUUAGGACGAGCUCUUACAUUAAAAACACAAGUUGUUGCCUUGUUGAUCUUAAAAUAUUAAAGUGUUCAAAGGUAUUUAGCAUCAAAACUAUAUAAAUCUUUUGAAAUUUGAAGCAUAUCCACAACCGUCAAAUAAUUCCAAUUCAUUCUAUCAAAUAAAAUUUUAUAAAACAUUUUUGGUGACAGCAAUAUUAUAGUAUUCUUAGAAGCAAAGUUGUACUUAAGGAUAAUAUAGUUAUUAAUUUUAACCGGAAAAAAUCAAUAAAAUUGACUUGUAGUUGUUUUAUUGUUGGAAAAAAAACAAAUAAUGAAACUUCGGACUCUUAUGAUUCAGGAGAAAAAAUGGAUCUUGGAUUGACACGUUGCAUAUGAAGCCUCGUGGUAGCUGAACGUAGGUUAUGUUAGGGUGAGCAAGUCAUCCAUGGUACAAAUCCAAGAAUUACUCUUGGGGUGGAAACUACACUAUCUAUUUUUAAAAAAUUGAAUAUAGUAAUUCUUCGAUGUAUAAGUUCGGUUUCUUAGAAUGUUAGGAAAAUAUUUCACCAUUAUACGGUUCAUAUCUCAGGAAUUUCAUAUUUGAGGAACUGUAAUUUGUUUAUUUUCUUAGGUUAAGGUGGGCAUGAGUCAACUUGACUUGAUUCUAAUGAAGUUUUUUCUAUUUGAACUAUUCUAAAAAGUAGAGUCGGUUUGAAAUGACUAAUGAGUGAGAUUGACUAUAUCGAUUCGAGUCUAAUAUAUUUAAUAUACUUUUACGAAUAAGUGAUUUUAUUUCAAAUUCACUGGGUUGAUAUAAUAGUGAAAAUUUGGAUAUUGAGAGUGUAUUUUUCUCAAGGUCUAAGAUUUGAAUCUGGCUAGAUACAAACAAUUCUUGUGUUGAGGCAUUUUUGUAUUUUUCAAAACUAUGCUACUUUUUACCUCCGUUGAAAAUAAUAUUCAGGGUGAAAUAUCAUGUUUACAUAAUUUUUGUUUUAACAUUUUUUUAUUUCAAUAUGCAAAAAUCACAUUUAUUGACAGAUUUUGAAUCUUCCUCAUCAUCGUCAUCGUCGUCGUCAUCAACAACAACAAAAUAAAUAGAAUCGUUAAAUAUUAAAUCUCAAUAACAACAAUAACAAUAACAACAACAAAAACAAUAGAAUCUUUAAACAUUAAAUCUAAAAAAAAAACUACUACUAUUACUAGAACAAAAACUAAAUAUUCGUUAAAAAUUAAAUCUCAAGAAUAACAACAACAACAUUGAACAUUCUACUUGACACAAUAACAACAACAACAACAUUGAACAUUCUACUUGACACAACAACAACAACAAACAUUGUUAAGUUACAUUCAUACUUUCCUAACUAACAUUAAUUGUUUUUUAAAACAAUAAGUUAAAAGAGAAUAUAUUACAUUAAAGAACUAACCUUGAAAUAUUUUUCUGCUCUUGCAAUCCAUCCCCGAGAAUGGUGUUGUACUUCAUGCAAUUACUUUCAUUAUCAUUACGUUAAUUAUGCAUUUUCAGCAUUUUGCAUCCAAGAUAUAUCAUUGUGACAUUCACGUUCUAAUUGGUUGGUGAGGGUAUCACGUGAAUCACUGAUAUGCCAUUUGGAUUGAUGAAUUGAUAAUGUCUUUCUCGUUGUUACUUUAUAAAUGAAUGACAAAGAUUCGUUACUUAAUUUUUUCAUCAAAUUAGACAAACAUUUUUCCCUCAUUUGCUAGAUCAACCGAGAUAAUAUUUCACUAAAAAAAUGCCCAAAGUUUUAGUUGUUGGAAUUUGAAAGGGGAGUUGAUCAAUACUUUUUCUCUCGGUUGACAUCUCAACUGAGAUAAUUGAUCAUAAAAAAAAUAUAAAUAAAAUUAAAAAGUGCUAAAGUGCAGUUGUUGGGAUUCAGAUGUAUGUCUCCUAAAUACUUUUCCCUUCGCUUAUCAUCUCAACUGAGGUAAUAUGUCAUAAAAGAAAAUAAAAAAUAAAUAAAAUACUCUAAUAAGAUUUUGUGCAAGGCGGGAAAAAGCAACUAUAUAAGGAGAAAAAUGUAAGAGAAGCAAAUACACAUAAUUCACAAGAUUAUUCAACUUUGACUUUAGCGAUCUUAAUUAUAUCAUUGAUGUAUUUUUACAAGUACAUUUGGUGCCCACUAUGAUUCCUGGUCAAAUUGACAUGGGUCACACACCACUUCCAACGACAGUCAAACCCCAUCCCAUGAUAACAAGGGCCACCACCGAUAGCAACGAUGACGGAAAUCAAGCUAACAUAAUGAAGAUUCUAACCGAUAUGGAUAAGUCGUGUCGUCAAAUGAAGCCAUGCAUGAGAGCUUCCAUGAUUUGUAAUAGCAGCAAAAUGCGGAGUCAGAUGUGGUUGAGGAAAGGGAGUCCAUUGAUCCUCAACCACUCGCAGAGAAUUAGGAUGCUUUGAUUUUUGGAUAUUUCAAACCACCAUCCCUAAAUAAAUUGGGAUGCUCUGAUUUUCGGAAAUUUCAAACCACUAUCCCUAGUGUGUUUUAUAGCAAGAGUGAUCCCUAGGAGAAUUUAGUAACCACCAACAUUCGAAUGACUAUCAAUGGAGUAGAUGACUCGCUAAAGUGUGAGCUGAUGGCUAAAACGUUCAAAGAGGCAACCCUCACAUGGUACAUGAGCCUCAUGCAAUUCUUAAUGCCGAGCUACCAAGAUUUGACGAGAAAGAUGAUUCACAAUUUUUUGGCCAUCAAGCAUAUAAAAGUUUCCACUACAAGCAUAUUAAAUGUUCGACGAGGCUAUUCUAAGUCCUUGGGCAAGUAUUUUGCGAGAUUUAUUUUGAAGGCGGUAACACCCCGAAUUUUUAUUCAUAUUUUAUUUUUAUUAAUAAUUCAAUUUUGUAUGUGUUAUGAUUUUAUUAUUAUCAGCAUUAUUAUUUUGUUAUCAUCAAGGAUAAGAAAGUUGAGAACUAAUUAAAAAAAUUAAAAUUAAUUAGAGUUGGUGGAAUAAGAAAGUUGGAAAAGUAAAAAAUUAGUGGGGGAAGUCAAAGAAAUAAAAAUCUGAAUUUUAUUAAGGGGAAUCAAUGAGAAUAAAUGGGCUUAAUUAUCAAAAUUUUAAUUAGAAAAUAAAAAGGGAGAACUAGAGAGAAAAAUGAGAAGUACAUGUUCUUUUGGAAGAAAAAGGAGAAAAAAUCGUAACAUUAAAAAAAAUCUGUUUUUCUUCUCCAAAACUAAAAAAGAAAUUCUAAUUUAUCAAGAGGAUAAUAAUAGAGAUUUUGAAAGCGACGAUUCCACCAUUAUUAGGAGCUUCGCAAAGAAAUUAUGCACUAACAAGGUAAGGAAAAGAGAUUUCUCUAUAACUUUGGUAUUUUAGCAUUUAGGAUUGUGGGGUUUCCCUUGAACCCCGAAUUGUAUGAAUUUUCAUAUGAAUUUCCUUAUGAGAUGAUGAAUCAUAGAUCCUAGGUUAUCAAUCUCUCUCUCUUAUCACCAAUGGUUUAGUUAAAUUAUAGAAUUUUGAUAUGGUCUUUCCAUGAAUCAUAUGUUUUAAUGUUGAUAUUAUGUGUUGAUUGAAUGAUGAUGUAUUGUGAUGAAUUAGUGAUGUUAAUUUGAUGUUUAAGUGAUGUUGUGAUGUGUUAUGUUAUGUAAUUUUGUGUUGGUCAUGUGUUUUUCGGAGUUUUGGAUUGAGUAAAUAUGUUGGGGAAAGGUAUAAAUUGAAGAAAAAGAAAAAAAACAUAAUUAUGGGUUUUAGCUACAGCCUGUAGCACUUGCUACGGUCAACCAUAACUAAUGUCUAUUUUUUUUGUAUGGGCAUGUGGCUUACCUUGCCACGACUCGUAGCAAUAGCUACGACCAACCAUAGUUGUUUGUUGUCUUUAGUAUGUUGUAGAAUUGAAAAUAACAUAACUCAGGUUUUGUAACUCGAAAUCAAACGUGGUCAGAUGUUUUAGAAAGCUAAUGUAUAGACAUAUCAGUUGGAACAAGAUUUGUUCAUGUCCUUAAAAGGUUUUGAUGAUAAAAAAAGUAUUUAAAGAAUAAUAGAGUUUGAUAACAUUUUGUUUAAGUGUGCAGGAUCACAAGCAUAGAACUAAUCCUGAUUGUUAGCAUAUGUGAAAAAGUAAUUUAAAGUUUGAUUCUAAUUAAUCGGAAUCUGAACUAGUUCAUCGCCUCUGAAGGCAUCAGACUCUGGCGUCAUGACCCAACUUCUGAUGACAACUCAAACUAUGAAGGUAUGAAGAGCCGUUGAUUCGUACCCUAAACCAAAUUAGUCUUGUCUUAUCAAAGCCCCAGAUUUAUGGACAAAGUAAACUAGGGUUUUCAUUUUGCAAGGAUCAAGAAAAAGGGAUCGGAUAUCUUUAGACUGCCCUACCUUUUGGUAGAUGCCUAGUACGAUGAAAGAUACUGAGAGCGGUGUUAUUAUUCAGUGGAUAAAGCUUCAUCCCUGAUGCAAGUCUUUAAUGUCUCUCUUGACAUACUUCUUCACCAAGUUUGCACGUUAUGUUCAAAUCCUCCAACGACUCUUUUUCAGUCUCUAUAAAAGGGAGUUGGAGACUCAAAGGAAGGUUACAACAUCACAACGCAUUACAAGAUCUUUAGCAUAACUCUAAGUUGUUAUUUCUGUAACUAUUAUAUCUUAAAUAUCAUAAUAUUUCUUAUCUUUGAUUAUCUCAUAAAUCUUAGAAAGAUUGAAAACCUUUUUGAUUGUUGCACAAAUGUUAUACUUGUGGUUGUGUAUCAAAUUAUAGUAGUUAUCUUGUCUACUAAACUUCCAUUUAAAGUAGAGGAAGUCUCUUUCCUGAGUACUUCAACAAGGAAGUCUCUUUCUAGGUUGAUUGAUUAAGGAAGUCUCUUUCUAGAUUGAUUGAGCAAGGAAGUCUCUUGUCCGAGGACUUUUAACGGAAGUCUCUUUCUAGGGUGAUUGAUCAUUGAAGUCUAUUGCAAGUGUGCUUGAGCAAUUUGUAACUUGUUUGGUUAUAGUGAAAAGCUCUUGUUGAGGAAAGGGGACUGGACUACUCUCAGUUGAGGAGAAGAAUCAAGAUAACCUUUGUGUGUUACUUGCAUUUACUUUUGAACUUUACAUUUUUGGUGUUGUGUUUUAAAUCUGAUAUCAGAGUCUGAACAUUGUUCAGAAUCUGAACGUGUGAUUCAAAAGUAAAACCAAUUUUUAAGUAUACACAACUCAACUCCCCUUAUUGUGUAUUUUCUCACCUUUAGUUGGCAUCAGAGCACAACCUGUACUAAACACUUAACCGUGGUACAUAAAAGAUCUUGACAAAAAUACUAUUUUCUUCAUGCUUGAGAGUUUUGUUGUUUUUAGUUCUGGUGAAGAACCUCCUCGUGGUUAUAACAACCAUGAUCAAAGUACAUCUGGUCAAAACACCUAUAUCUCUAGACCACCAACAUUCAGUGGAGACUCCACUAAAUUUGAAUGGUGGAAAAGCAAGAUCUACUCUCACAUCAUUAGUCUAGAUGAUGAGUAAUGAGAUAUCUUGGAAGAUGGCAUUAACUUUCAUGUUAAUGGUGUUGGAACGGUUUAUGAUAGAAAGUCUCUCACUCCUGAUCAAAAAAGAGUUAUAUAAAGCAUCAUAGAGUGAGAGGCAUUCUUGUUAAUGUUUUACCUCAUUCUUAGUAUGUAAAUAUUAUUGAUAAGUCUACUGUAAGGACUAUCUUUAAAUCCCUGUGUGUGACCUAUGAAGGUAAUCAAUAGGUUUAAGAAGCCAAAUUCAAUCUUAUGGUUCAAUAAUAUGAGUUGUGUGAGCAAAUUCUUUACUUUGAAUAAGUUUUGAAUGAUAGCAAAUUGUGUGAUCAUUGUCCAAUUGUUGGUUGUGCAUUAUUUUACAUGAUUCAUUUGUGUUUUUAGCUCACACUAUUGUUUCAUGUCUAUACAUAAAGAUCCACAUUGAUACAUCUCUUAAAAGAACUCAUAAAAACUAUUUUGUGUUGUUGUUCAAAUCAUGUUACAUAUGCAUCGAUCCAUAAAUUGUUGUAAACCCAAAACGCUUUUGCUUCAUGUAUUCGAUCAUAUGAGUCAUGUAUCGAUACAUGGCCAGUAAAUUGCUCUAUGUAUCGAUCCAUACGAGUCUGAUCAAUACAUGCGUAGUUAAAAUGCUCUAUGUAUCGAUACAUCGAGAUUUGCAUCGAUACAUCUACAUUAUUCUCUAAAUAAAUCAAGUUACAGAUGUAUCGAUGCAUAACUUGUAGUCAUACAUAGUUGUUUGUCUACUAACAGUUUUUUUUCAUAUAUAAGAGUAUUGACAGCAGUGAAAAGAACGAUUCAAAAGAGAAAACAGUUGACACAGAUCAAAGGAGUGAUAAGCACAAUUGUUUUGAGCAGUUAGAAACCUGAAAGAGACUUCAUCUUCUUCAUCUUCUCAAUCUUUUCUUCGAGACAUCAACACUAAUCAUUCUUGUUCUUUGGAUUAAAGGAUAACGAGUAACAUUCCGUGGUACGAUCAGGAUCUAGCUGAGUGUGCGAACGAUCGAGUCUAGCUAAGUGAAAGAUGAAGGGGUUCGGGAAACAACUGGUUUGUCUUCAGAACUGGAGUGUUCUUGCGGUUUGUUAGUCACGUUGCAGAACAGAUUCAGCCCAGCGUAGGUUGAAAAUCGGUGAUUUCACAAAGUAGUCGUGGAACGGUGAAUUGUUUGCAAUUUCUUGCAGGUUCUUGACGAGCUCAGAUCAGUGGAGUUUCAACAAGAAGAAGUUCUUGGAUUUAGAAUUCUGUCUGUGUAUGUGAAUUGUAUCGAUUCGGAUUAUUGAUAAUUACAGUUCUCAAUUUCAUUUGAAAUUGAGAGGGAGACGUACCCACACGCGAGGACGACAGUGGGGAACUUCCUUACCAAAUCUCUGCGUAUCGUAUUCUUUUCUUAUCUCUCUUUACGUUUUCAACAGUUUUGUAAUUUCAGUUAGUGUGUUGUGGCUGUACUUUUUGGGAUACAAUAGUGGCAAGAAAACUUCUUUAACUAAAGUCCACCAUUGUUCAUCAUUGAUCACAUACACACCAAUUGUUUGACAAAACUGUCAGCUGAGUUUUAUUAAUUGGAAUUAGGAUUUAGUGAUAAGUGCAUUCAAUUUGAUAAGAUUCUGGUGUUUAUAAUCUCUGUCGUUCUAAUUCAAAUCCAACAAUAAAUUCGCGUGUCCGGUUUUCUAGUAGCGGUUCAGAAUAGACGGAAGUCGAUUCGGGACUGAAAUUUUCCGCUAAGUUACAACAACUCUGAUAAAAUUUUAAAUCCGUUUAUUUUAAAAGAGGUGAUCUAUUCACCCCCCCUCUCUCGAUCACUAGCCACACCGUCUAACAAGUGAUAUCAGAGCGUCGGUUCGCUGGUGCUCUGUGGCUGCCUGUAACGAUAUGGAUUCUGAACCAAAGGGGGCGUAUAAUAGAGCGCCUAUUUUCAACGGUGAAAAUUACGGCUACUGGAAAGACUGCAUGAUGCGAGUUAUAUAUUCGUUGAUAGCUAGUUUAUGGGCUGCCAUUGAAAAUGGUCUUUGUCAAUACUAUGAAAUGCGCUGGGCAUAGUUCUAACGCAGAAGCUGAUGAAUGAAAAGAUGGAGAAAGUGGUCGUGUGGAUUGGAGAAGCUCGAUAUCUAUUUUCAGCACGUGGGUUAUUGAGUAUUAUCGGGUAUCCAUUGCCGAACAGUAAAGAAUUGGGUGCUUUAGAAGUUGCCCAUAUGAGGGUAACUGAAGUAUGUCUCGCAUUACUCCUACAAUCAAGGAGUUUGAGCUCUUUCGAUUGAAACAAGGAGAAAUUAUCUCCGACAUCAAAAGAGAUUUACUAUCUAGGCUAUAGGUUGAAUCACUUGGAAACAGCUGUUUAAAUGAAAUAGCUACUAAUCAAUUUAAGAUGUUUAGAGGGAAUGGAACCUAAGUAACACUAUUAGAAGUCCAAGUCUAACGACAUGAUUACCUGUUUUGGAGCGGAAAGCAUAAGCGCCGCAAGCCCAAUAGAAGUCUUGAAAAGUUUGAGAAGCAAGUACGAGAAAGAGAGAAGAGGGAGAGGAAGAAGCAAUAGUAUUGUGGGCCUCUGCUCUAAGUUCAGAAAAGGCAAAGUGCAAUGAUACUAGUAGUGACAAAGAUUGAUGUGAGGCCGGAACUGUUUGUAAGAAGAUUAAUUAUUCAUUGACAAGUGGAGUCAACAUUGAAAACCUACUGAGUUCAAGAACUUACGAUUAAAACGGAGAGAUAAGAAGAGUAGAGAGAGAUCUUGUUUUAAUUGUGGUAAUCUGGACAUUAUAAAAUCGACUGCCUAAUGAAGUAUAGGAUAAAGCUUACAAAGGUAGACAAACAAGAAGGCUUACAAUUGAUGGGAAAGUGAUAGUGAUUCAUCAAGCCACAAGCUCAAGUGUAGUGAUGAAAUGAAAUCUGUGCCUUAUGGCUCAACAAAUUUUGUCCUUACAGAGAUAAAUAAUACAAAAGAAAACCCUUUAUUAAAUAAUUUUUUCUAUGUCUUUUUCUGAACUGAAAUAGUUUUGAAAAUCUGUAACGAAGCUGUAGGCUUUAAAGAUUUUUCCUAAACAUUUUUUCUUCUGGAAGGUAAGUAUACAAAGCGAAAAAGAUAUAGAAUGGUAAAGCUAGUAUUUAGCAGAAUUCAAAAGCUAUUGAAUUGAUGGAUGUGUAAAGUUGGUAUGUGAAGCUUGUCAUAUUUGAACAAGAGGUAACAUCUAUAGUCAAUUGGAAAAGUCUUCAAAAGGUACUAUGCCGUUGACUCUAGUUGUUUAAGAAGUCAUUAAUCCACCAUAUGCAAAAUACUCUUAUUCAUAAGGAUUUAUGAAGCAAGAAUAACAAGACACAUAUGAUGGUUUAUGUCAUUACUUUGUAUGCUGCCAUACAUUGAGAAUGCAAGUUUAGGAGUUUCUUGUUCCUUAAGGUAUUUAUCAGAAGCAAAGGCGACCAUAGUUAUCACUUACCCACUUAGGACCAAUGAAAUUGGGUAGCAACUUCUCUCUUUGAUAUGUAGGAUGAGGUCUUGAUUCCGUNGAUGUCUUAGCAGGGAAUGGCAACCUAAAGUAACAACUAUUAAGGAAGCCAACGAUCUAACGACACUUACGAUUACAACUCUGUUUGGAAAGCUGGAAGAACAUCAGCAAGCAUUAGAAAGUCUUGAAAAGUUUGAGAACAAAAGUAAGAAGAAAAGAGACAAAGAGGGAGAGAAGAAGCCAAUAGCUCUUGUGGCCUCUAGCUCUAAGUCCUCACGAAAAGAGCAAAGUGACAAUGAUACUAGUAGUGACAAAGAUUCGGAUGAUGAGGAAACGGAACUGUUUGUAAGAAGAUAUAAUAUAUUCAUUCGAAAGAAUGGAGUCAAACAUUCCGACAAAAACCUCAUGAAGUUUCAAAGACAAUCUACAGAUUCAAAACAGGAAGAGAAUAAGAAGAGUAGAGGAAGAGGAUCUUGUUUUAAUUGUGGUAAAUCUGGACAUUAUAAAACAGACUGCCCUAUGAAGUAUAAGGAUCAAAGAAAAGCUUCACCAAAAGGGUACAGCAAACAAAGAAGAGCUUACAUUGCAUGGGAAAGUGAUAGUGAUUCAUCAAGCACACAAAGCUCAAGUGAUAGUGAUGAAACCGCAAAUCUGUGCCUUAUGGCUCACACCAAAAAUCUGUCCUACCACAAGAAGAAAAUCAAUGACAAAAAGGUAAAACAAGCCUAUUAUAAUAAUUUCUCUUCUAUGUCUUUUUCUGAACUGAAAAUAGCUUUUGAAAAACUGCAUAACGAAGCUGUAGAUGCUUUUAAAAGACUAUCUUCCGAUAAACAAAUUUUUUCAUUUCUGGAAGGUAAAGUAUACAAAGCUGAAAAUGAUUUAGAAUCGUUAAAAGCUAGUAUUGCAGAAAAUUCAAAAGAUAUUGACAUUGAUGGAUGUAGUAAAGUUAGGUAUUGUGACGCUUGUCAUAUUUGGCAAAAAGAGGUAAACACUCUCAAGGUCAAAUUGGAAAAAGCUUUACAACCUAAGGUUACUUAUGCCGUUGACUCUAGGUUGUUUAAGAAGUCAUUAAAUCCACCAUAUGCAAAAUACUCUUUCAUUCCAAAGGAUUUAAUGAACAAGAAUAAACAAACACAUCAUCAUGGUUUAUGUCAUUAUUGUUGUCGUGCUGGCCAUACCAUUGAGAAAUGCAAGUUUAGGAGAUUUCUUGUUCCUAAAGGUAUUUAUCAAUGGAAGCCAAAAGGCAACCAUGUUAGCACUUACCCACUUGGACCCAAUGAAAAUUGGGUACCAACUUCUCUCUUUUGAUAUUGUAGGAUGAGUGCCUUGCUUCCGUAGAUAGGAGAUGGUUUCUUGACAGCGGUUGCUCAAGGCACAUGACCGGUGACAUAUCGCUUUUUAUAGACUUCAAAGCAAAGAAGAAGGGAUAUGUUACUUAUGGAGACAAUAACAAAGGAGCUAUACUUGGCAAAGGUAGUGUAGGUAAUCCCUCUACCACUACUAUUUCUGAUGUCCAUUUAGUAGAGGGGCUUAAACACAAUUUGUUAAGCAUAAGUCAAUUGUGUGACAAGGGUUAUAAAGUUUCUUUCACAAAAACUUGCUGCAUAAUUGAACAUGCUGAACAGAACGUUGUGUUUAAGGGUGUAAGAGUAAACAAUAUCUAUAUGCUUGACCUUUUUGAUGUAUCUUUAACAAGUACUAAAUGUCUAGUCACCUUGAAUGAUGAUUCUUGGCUUUGGCAUAGACGUUUAGCGCAUGUUAAUUUCGAUUUGCUUAAUAAGGUUGUAUCUAAGGAUCUAGUAGUCGGUCUACCAAAAAUAAAAUUUUCAAAAGACCACCUAUGUGACGCGUGCCAAAUGGGAAAGCAAACAAGGGUGUCUUUUAAAUCUAAAAAUGUAAUUUCAACUUCACGACCCCUUGAGCUUCUCCAUAUGGACCUCUUUGGACCUUCUAGGACAAAGAGCCUAGGUGGAAAUUACUAUGGCUUUGUAAUAGUUGAUGACUACUCUAGAUUCACUUGGACUAUAUUCCUUCAUAGCAAAGAUGAAACUUUUUCUGCUUUUAAAAAUUUUGCAAAUCUGUCCCAAAACAAAAUGAAUUCCAAAAUAGUUACAAUUCGUAGCGAUCAUGGUGGUGAGUUUCAAAAUUAUCACUUUGAGAAGUUUUGUGACAAGUAUGGCAUUGAGCAUAACUUUUCAGCCCCUCGCACUCCACAACAAAAUGGCGUUGUGGAGCGUAAAAAUCGUGUUUUAGAGGAGUUGGCAAGAACAAUGCUUAAUGAGGGUGGAUUACCAAAAUACUUUUGGGCUGAUGCUGUCAGCACAGCCUGUUAUGUUCUAAACAGAAUCUCAAUUCGCCCUAUUUUAAACAAAACUCCUUAUGAACUUUUGAAAGGAAGAAAACCAAACUUGUCACAUCUUCACGUAUUCGGUUGUAAAUGUUUUGUUUUGAAUAACGGUAAGGAAAACAUUGGGAAGUUUGAUGCAAAAGCGGAUGAAGGUAUCUUUCUUGGUUACUCACUGUCAAGUAAAGCAUAUAGAGUGUAUAAUAAGCGUUUACUUACUGUUGAAGAAUCUGUUCAUGUUUCUUUUGAUGAGUCUUAUCCGAAAAAUGUCGGAAAAGGUAUUUCUUUUGAUGACGCAGGUGUAUCUACAGAAGACAUACUCAAGGAAGCUGUUGAGGAAACUGAUCAGUCCAAAACAGCUGCCCAUGAGAAGGAGGAAGAUACUAGUCAUGAAGAAAUUGAGGAAGAAAAGACAGCUGAAGUGAAUGAUCUUCCAACAGCUUGGAAAUCCUCAAAAGACCAUCCCAUUGACAACAUCUUGGGAGACAUUUCAAAGGGAGUAAUGACCCGUUCUAAGAUAAGUAAUUUUUGUUCUCACUUCGCGUUUGUUUCACAAGUAGAACCUAAAAAUGCCAAAGAGGCCUUGAUUGAUGAAUUUUGGCUAAUGGCCAUGCAAGAAGAGCUUAAUCAAUUUAAAAGAAAUGACGUUUGGGAACUUGUCCCUCGUCCGCGAGAUCAUCAUAUCAUAGGCACUAAGUGGGUUUUUAGGAACAAGCUUGAUGAAAACGGAGUGAUUACUAGGAACAAGGCACGUUUAGUAGCACAAGGGUAUAACCAAGAGGAGGGCAUAGACUAUGAGGAAACUUAUGCUCCAGUUGCUCGCCUUGAAGCUAUACGUCUUUUGCUUGCCUAUGCGUGUUCUAAGGAUUUUAAGCUUUACCAAAUGGACGUAAAGAGUGCUUUUCUUAAUGGUGUCAUAAAUGAAGAAGUAUAUGUUUCACAACCUCCUGGUUUUGAAAAUGCUGAAAAUCCAGAUCAUGUUUACAAAUUAAAACGAGCUUUGUAUGGUCUUAAACAAGCCCCUCGGGUUUGGUAUGAAAGGCUUAGCAAAUUCCUAAUUGAUCAUGGAUAUUCAAGAGGUAAAGUGGACAAUACUCUCUUUAUUAAACACAAAGGGAAGCACAUUCUUUUAGUUCAAGUUUAUGUCGACGAUAUCAUAUUUGGUUCAACUAACAUACACUUGGUCGAAGAAUUUUCUAAGGUUAUGCAGGGUGAAUUUGAGAUGAGUCUAAUGGGGGAGCUGAACUACUUCCUAGGACUGCAAAUAAAGCAACUUGAUGAGGGUACAGCAGUAUGUCAAACAAAAUACUGCAGAGAACUACUCAAGCGCUUUGGAAUGAAUGACUCAAAAUCAAUUGACACCCCAAUGCCUACCAACGGAAAUCUAGAUAAGGAUGAGCAUGGUAAGUGUGUAGAUGUCAAAAGGUUCAGAGGUAUGAUUGGAUCUCUCUUGUAUCUUUCUGCUUCUAGACCUGACAUCAUGUUUAGUGUUUGUAUGUGUGCACGCUAUCAAUCAAAUCCUAAGGAAUCGCACCUAAAAGCGGUGAAGCGCAUAUUUAGAUAUCUUCACGGAACACCUAAAUAUGGGCUUUGGUAUUCCAAAGGAAGUGAUUGUAGCUUAGUAGGGUACUCCGAUUCUGAUUUUGCUGGCUGCAAAUCAGAUAGGAAAAGCACAAGUGGUACAUGUCACCUGUUUUCAAACUCCUUGGUCAGUUGGCAUAGCAAAAAGCAAGUUUCUGUGGCUUUGUCAACUGCAGAGGCAGAAUACGUUGCAGCCGGUAGUUGUUGCGCUCAGAUUUUAUGGCUGAAACAGCAACUACAAGACUUCAACAUUCAACUCAAACGUAUUCCUAUCAAAUGUGACAACACUAGUGCCAUAAACCUUACUAAAAACCCUGUUUUACACUCACGCACUAAACACAUAGAGAUUAGACAUCAUUUCCUUCGUGAUCAUGUUGAAAAAGAAGACGUUGUCUUUGAGCACGUUGAUUCCAAAAAUCAGCUUGCUGAUAUUUUCACUAAACCGUUGGCAACGGAACCUUUCUUCAACAUUCGUCGCGAAUUGGGAAUCUUAGAUCUUUCUCAAUUGAUGUCAUAAGCAUGUUACCUCUUAAUUAUAUUAUGCCUCACCAUGGUUGAUAAGAGCUGUUUUAGAUGUCAAUUAUCCAUCACAAGAGUUCUCCAACAGAGGUAAUAUCAAUCCUUUCUACAAUUUUCUUAUUGCUAAGUGAUUGUGUAUGUUAGAACAAAUGUUCUUACUCUAGUUGAUAUAAAAUUUGAUUGCAUAUACUCCUUGUCCAUAUUGUGUGCACAUUAACAAUCUGACUUCUGAAUCUCUCUUGAGCAUAAUCAUCAUGACAUAGUGCAUAAUGCAUAUUCAUACUGCAUUAAAAUUCAUUAAAAGCUAGUUCAGCAUCAGUAUGCAUCGACACAAACGAAGCAAGCAUCGAUCCAUACAUUCUGAAAUUCAAAUUUUUUAAAAACUGCUUCAGGAUGCAUCGAUGCAUCCAUCGCAUGUAUCGAUACACAUGCCCAUUGUGAAUAUUUGGCAUCGACGCAUGACCAUCUGCAUCGAUACAUACUGAUGCUAUCUGAAUUAAAUGCAUUUCUUUCUCUCUCAUGCAUCGACACAUCAGCCAAUCAUAUCACUUCCUAUCUCAUUACUUCAUAUCAUCUGCCCUCAAAAACCCCAAAACCAGUGGCUAACCCUAAUCCUCCUCAUCUUCACUCUCUCUCUAAAACCCUAAAUCUCACAUCACCAUGCCUCCACGCACUAUUCCAGUCAGAGCCAAAGGAAAAGGAAAGGGAAAGGAAACAGCCGGUACAUCUCAGCAACCACCAGACGUUCCUUCAAAUGCCUUAGAGCUACUUCAUCCUGCUGUUGCUGCUGAAUUUGAGGAAUCCUUCAAGACAAGGUUAGUCAUGAAACCUCACGUCUUUGAUAAAACAGAUGCUAUUCACCUACACCUAAAUGAAGUGGUUGAACUCUUACAUGCACAAAGACUUGGGUCGUUUCUGUCCACAAAGGAUGAUUAUCAUGAGGAUUUCAUUCGGGUCUUUUAUGCUGGCUUACAAACUGGUAGAGGCUAUAUGUUCCGGUGUUCUAUCGGAGUCAGAACAUAUACCUUUGAAGCCUCUGAUUGGGAAACGGUAUUUCAAAUGCCGCCUCCGUCGAUGGCUUUCAAGUCCUGGCAUGACCUGCAUUUUGAUCCUGAAUUUGACAUGAAGGACUUUACUCCAUCUAUCCUAAAGAUAGACAGACCGUUGAGUGAUGAUGAACACGUCACGUCUGGUAUGAUCAAGCAAACUCCGCGUAUUCUUCACUGGAUUAUUACACAUAUUCUGCGUCCAACAAACAGUGGACAUUCGCGGUUGGACAGGCCCUGCAUACAUCUUCUCUACAUUUUGCAAAAUAAGGUGCUCUUAAAUUGGGCUAAUUACUUUGUAAAACGUCUAUUUUUCGUGCGAGACAGCUCCAAGAAUGUGGCUCUAGGUUAUGCCUCUCAAAUAAUGAAAAUUCUUAAGUUUUGGAAAGUUGCAAUACCUAUUGUUCCUCUCCUAUCUCCAUCUGCUGCUCAAGAGUUUGACUCUGCCACUCUAUCGCAUAUGGGAUAUCGGUGGGACAAGGACCGCAAAUGUUUCUAUUUCUUCGAAAGAAAAUCCAAAACCAGAAUUUACAACUUUGACGUGCCCUCGGAACGCAUCCAUGUUGCUGAAGAUCAGCCUGAUGAAGAAAUGCAGGAUGCGGCUGAAACAGAUGCACCACAAGCUGAGGCCAAUGCUGGUUGGGGUGAUUGGGUGCCACGAAGGUGGUCUCCUACCAACUAUGUACCUGAACCUACAGCCCCUCCAUUCUCCGGUGGUACUUCAGCCUCAACACCAAAUGCGGACAUCACUCAUAUGCUUCAACAGAUGGAAAUUGUCAACAAAGAACGCCAUGAAGAAGCACGGUACUGGCAUGUUCAACAAUCUGAAUGGCACAACGAGCAUCGGGACUGGCAUGAUGAGCAUACACGGAUGUAUCAGAAUCAACACGCUUGGCACCAAGACUUGGUUAAAUGGCAUCAGGUUUUCUACAACGAAAUGUCUGGCUUUAUGGACGACUGCCGUGAAAAUCCUGGUAUUAUGGACAGCUUUAGAAGCAUUGAAGUUCAGAACCGAUUUAGGCAAUACUCCUUCAUGGGCCAAAAUCCAGACACAAUGCCUCCUCCUCCGCCUCCGCCAAGCUACAGAGAUCCUGCCAGAGAUGAUGAGGAGUCCUGUGGUGGCCACAAUCCCAAUUAACCCACCAUCAUUUCAUCUCACUGCAUUUCAUCUCAUAUUGCUCAAGUUUUAUUUUGUUGCACAAUAUAUGGUUUAGCUUAUGUAAUUCUUAAACUCGUUCGAAUCCUUAAAUGCUUUUCACUUUCUGUUUAUCUCUAUUGUUAUUGCCCUUAUUCGUCAUUCUUUGUGAAUGAUUCUUUACUUUGAAGCUUCCUUCUUUGUGAUUGAUAGCUUUUUAUCAAUUUUUUUGCCAUGUCCUGCUACAACAUGUUACCUUGAUAAACCUGUUUCUUCCUCUUUUUGAUGUUGACAAAGGGGGAGAAAUGCAGAUAUGCACAAACUCAGGGGGAGUAUCACACAUCUUGCCAAAAAUUUGCCAUCAUCAAAAAGGGGGAGUUUGUGAGAAAAUUCUUUACUUUGAAUAAAUUUUGAAUGAUAGCAAAUUGUGUGAUCAUCAUCCAAAUGAUGGUUGUGCAUUACCAUACAUGACACAUGAGUGUUUUUAGUGUGUUUUAUCCCAUUCUAUUGUUGCAUGUCUGUACAUAAAGAUCUACAUUGAUACAUCUCUUAAAAUAACUCAUAAAAUCCAUUUUGUGUCAGUAUGCAUCAACACAUAAGCCUAUGCAUCGAUCCAUACAGCAUGUUGUAAAUCACAAAACUUUUUUGUUCAGUAUGCAUCGAUGCAUACGAGUCAUGUAUCGACACAUGAACAGGCAAAAUGCUCUAUGGAUCGAUCCAUACGAGCCUUGCAUCGAUCCAUGAUCAGUUGAAACACCCUAUGUAUCAAUGCAUGCGUAUUAUGCAUCGAUCCAUGUUAGUGGAAAUGUCAUAUGCAUCAAUACAUACGAAUUAUGCAUCGAUCCAUGCUUAAUUCAAUUCACCAAAAACUCACUUAUCUUACAGUAUGCAUCGAUGCAUACUCUCAUGUAUCAAUGCAUAAGUCUGUUUUGUGCUCUAACAGUUUCUGUUUUUCAGCAUAUAUAAGAGAUGUUGUGACAGCAGUGACAGGCAACGAAUUCUAAGAGGGAAAAACAAUUGAACACAAGAUCAAAGCAGUGUGUAGCAGCAAUUGUUGUUGAGCAGAUAGAAACCUGAAAGAGACUUCAUCUUCUUCAUCUUCUCAAUCACUUUUCUUCAAGAACAUCAACACAUAAUCAUUCUUGUUCUUUGGAUUAAAGGAUCAACGAGAUAACGUUCAGUGGAACGAUCAAGGAUCUAGCUGAGGUGUUCAGUGGAACGAUCGAGGAUCUAGCUGAGUUGAAGAUUGAAGGGGGUUUCGAGGAAAAACCAACUGGUUUGUCCUUCAAGAACUGGAGUGUUCUUGCGGGUUUGUUAGUCACGUUUGCAGAACAGAUUCAGCCGCAGCGUAGGGUUUGGAAAUCGGGUGAUUUCGCAAACAGGUCGUGGAACCGGUGAAUUGUUUGCAAUUUCUUGCAGGAAAUUCUUGAUCGAGCUCAGAUCAAGUGGAGGUUUCAUACAAGAAGAAGUUCUUGGGAUUUAGAAUUCUGUCUGUGUAUUGUAACCUUGUAUCAACGAAUUCGGCAUUAUUGAUAAUUACAGUUCUCAAUUUCAUUUGAAAUUGAGAGGGAGACGUACCCACACGCGAGGACGACAGUGGGGAACUUCCUUACCAAAUCUCUGCGUAUCGUAUUCUUUCCUUAUCUCUCUUUACGUUUUCAACAGUUUUGUAAUUUCAGUUAGUGUGUUGUGGCUGUACUUUUUGCGAUACAAUAGUGGCAAGAAAACUUCUUUAACUAAAGUCCACCAUUGUUCAUCAUUGAUCACAUACACACCAAUUGUUUGACAAAACUGUCAGCUGAGUUUUAUUCAUUGGAAUUAGGAUUUAGUGAUAAGUGCAUUCAAUUUGAUAAGAUUCUGGUGUUUAUAAUCUCUGUCGUUCUAAUUCAAAUCCAGCAAUAAAUUCGCGUGUCCGGUUUUCUAGUAGCGGUUCAGAAUAGACGGAAGUCGAUUCGGGACUGAAAUUUUUCGCUAAGUUACAACAACUCUGAUAAAAUUUUAAAUCCGUUUAUUUUAAAAGAGGUGAUCUAUUCACCCCCCCCCCUCUCGAUCACUAGCCACACCGUCUAACAAGUUGUUUAGGAUGAAGAAUGAUGAGAAUAUUGAAUUUAUGUUCUCCAGAUUUCAAGUUCUUGUGUUUGGGAGUUAGGUCCUAAACAAGAGCUAUACGAGUGUGGAUCAUAUCAAGAAGAUUCUUAGGAGUCUUCGUGUCAAAUUGAGACCCAAAGUAACCGCUAUUCAAGAAGCUAAAUACCUAAGUUCUUUAAGUCUUAAAUGUCUUAUUAGCAAUCUCCAAAAUCAUGAAUUAGAGCUGAAUGGAGAUGAGCCUAAAAAGCAGAUUGAAAUUGUGGCUUUAAAACCUGUGAGGGGAUAUGAGAAGUCCUCUCAAAAGCUCAAAGAAGGCACUCAUGAUGAAGCUUAUGAUGAAGAAUCUGAUGAUGAUGAACUAGCAUUUAUCAUCAAAAUAUUUAAAUAUUUGGCUAGAACGAAGAACAAAUUCUCUAGUAAGAGAUAUAACUUCAAAGGGUCAAGUUCUUGAAGUAAAGAUCAUGAUGGUUGUUAAAACUGUAAGAAGAAUGGUCAUUUCAUUUCUGAAUAUCCUGAUCUUCAAAAAGACAAAAGUAAGAAUGUGAGCUUCCAGAAGAACAACUUCAGAAGCAAGUUCAAGAAAAGUCUUAUGGCAACAUGGGAAUAACUUGUUAAUGAAGGAGAAAUGAGGAAGCCAGACUUGCUUUGAUGGCCUCAACCUUCUCAAACUCAGAAUCUGAAGUUGAUUCUGACUCUAAGUCAGAAGACACAGAACAUGUAUUUUCUCAUCUCUCAAAAUCUGAUUUAAGUACUUUGUGUCAUGAUCUUAUGGAAAGAUGCCAACAGAAAGCCAGACAUAUAAAAACAUUGAAGAAGAAAUGUGAUCUUUUAAAAUAUGAACUAAAUCUUUCUAAAGAAAAAAUUGAAAAAGAACAACUUGCUUCAAUAAAAAAUAUGUCUGACAAAUCUCUGGAUAAAAAUGAGUUAGCUCUUUGAGAUUUCAUUAUAUCUGGUUAUGAUAGAACCAAACUUUCCUCCAUAAUUUAUAGAGUAAGUAAGAGUAAAUGGGAAGGACUUGGUUAUCAUCAUAAAUCUUACAAUCCAAGGUUUGAUAUCUUAGUUAAACCAUCAGACCAUUCUUCUUCAAGCACUACUCAAAAGGGGUUGAAUGCUUACUUUUUGCAUGCUGCUCAAAAAUUUAAAAUUCUGGACCAAUCAGAACCUGUGAUAAAUAGCUCACAAAUUUUGAAGGAUUCCGAAUCUAAAGUUAUUAUAUCUGAAGUUCCUAAAGGUUCGGAAGUCAAGGUUAAGACUUGUCUUAGACAAACUGUCUGGAAGAAGUCAAAACCUUACUAUAAAGCUAAGGCACAAAGCGAGAAGAAGCUCUAUAAAUCUAACCUCAGAGGACCCAUAAAAGUAUGAGUACCAAAGAAUGAGAUUAUUUUUGCUGAAGAUAAGCUCAAAGGAAAGAACAAAGCAAAAACUGCUCCAGGAUAGUGGCUCGCGACCUUCAACAAGAAGAAAGCUUACAUCCUAAGUCCUAACUCUGAAGGAGGAAAGAGAUGUGGAAUCUGGAAGAAACCAGUAAGACAAGUUUACUGGUAUUGGGAAGAUUAAAGUCUUCUACUGUGAACUGGUGCUUCAGAUUCUUGGUUAUGACUCUGAAGUUCAUCCAAUUGUUCUGAGAAGUCUGAAGAGAUUUCUGAUGAUUUACGGAAGAGCAUUGUUGGAAAUAUAUUAUUCCUCUUGAAUCAGAUGAUGUUUAGAAACUACUUUGAUCAGAGGCUCCUUAACAAUUUCUGAUGAACAAAUAGCCUCUGAAGCAUCACAACAUCUGAUAUUAUGAAUUUGAACAAUAUUUUGAAAUGGUUUCUCCAUAGUAACUACCUGUGACACCUAUCCUGCUAUGUGUCAUUAAUGUGGAAUGACUCUUGACACAUGGAGUGAAUCUGUUGGUUAAAUAUCCCUCCCUUCUUUUUUUCAUGUUGUAAUUAUCUUAUUUUGUGUGUCUCUCACUGCAUUUAUGCACGUUUGUGUUUAAAACUUAUUUUUCACUCAAAAACACUGUUUAUACCAGAAUCACACAUCUCACUACUUCAUUACCUACACUUUUGCGUUUUCUAACCUUCUCUGGAAAACCCCUUUUUCAAAAGACACCCUAAAACUCUAUUAUUCAAUGGAUUCGUCUUCAAAAGCUCAAAAUGCACACAUGAUCAUCAACUCUGGCAAAAAUAUGAAAAUUAAGCCCAAGACCAUGAAUUUGAAUUAGGAUGAUCUAAAGCUUAUGGUGGAACAAAUUGUCGACUUUGACUCUUUCAGUCCAAAUGGGUAUAAUCUUUAGAGAUUUUUCAGAGUUCAAAAGUGGUCUUCAUUCUUUGAUAUUUUUAAUGGAACAACCUAUCCUUAUCCUGUGAAAGAUUUUUGGGUAAGGGCAGAAGUUUUUGAUGAAUCUGCUGCACAUGAAGAAUUAAGACUUCUGGUUAAUAAGAACAACUUUUUGAAAGGGAAGACAAGCAAAGAAGUAGGAUUGAAGGAGUUUAAAGAGGUUUAAAUUAGAUCAAUUGUAAUGGGUAUUGAUGUGGUCAUCACUCAGAAAAUGAAUGCUAAACUUUUAAGUACCACAAACUCUGGUAGAUUUAUUAUGGGAACCAAAGACAAUAGUCCUGAAGCCGAUGCAAUCAAACAAUAUUUGUUUGAAGAGUGUAAUGAUUUUUAUUCCUCUGGCUUUGGAAAGGCCAGGAACAUGAAGGAUGAUUCCAGGCUUCUGUUCAAAAAUCUAAUUACAUACCUGAUUCCAAAGGAAGGAAAUACUUAUCAGAUUUCUUGGGAUCACAAACAUUUCAUUUUUACCUGAAGAAUGAGGACAAGAUAAAUCUACUAGCUUACAUUUUCAAUCAUAUAUGUGAAGCUAUAAAGGAUAGCACAAAUAUUCAUAAGAAUAAUGUUCCUUAUGCUAUAUUUUUGUUAGAAUUGUUCUUUCAGGGUCGUCUAAUUGAUGCCCUUAAAAGCUUUCCUGAUAAUGAAGAUCUAGAGGAAAUUUAUGGAAGUAUCCUAUCAGCUUCUGUUUUGGCUAACAUGAAGAUGAAGAAGAAAUAUGAGAUUGUUGCUUCAAAGAUUCCUCUUUCUCUUGAUGUACUAAUUAUGAUUAUCUCAAGGAUUAUCUUAUCAUCUCUAAGAUGGAUAACCCUGAAGUAAUCAGAAAUUUCAUCAUACAGUCCUUCAAAGAAAGGAAUAACAUCAAACUCAAGGAUAUUCCUAACAAACCUACUGAUGGUUAUUCUUCUAAGAAGAUGAAGCAAGAAGUUUCAGUUGUUCUGAAUGAUGUUCGUAAAUCUUCUAAGAAAAUAACAGUUGAGAAGGAAGUUGAAAAAGUGGUUGCUAGAAUUGUAAUAAUGCUUUCCAAGACUAUGAGUGAUAAGUAUCUCAAGAAGGCUGCUUCUGUGUCUGUUAUUUCAGAAGCACCUUUAAGGAAGAAAAGGCUAAGGAAGUUGUCUGAAAUUGAAGAAAAAGAAGAAGAGGAAGAAAAUUUGUCCUUAAUUAGGAAGAAGAAAAAUGCAGACGGCUCUGUUCAGAAGAAAUCAAUUAAGCAUUCUCUCAAGAUUCCUCAACUAUUAGCAUAUGCCAUCUUGGAUCAUUUAGAAAAGCAUCAAGAUACAUCUGUGUCUAAGGAUCAAGAAACUAUUGUUGGUAUUUUGAAACAUGUUAAGGUUCAGGUUGUUGAAGUUAUGGUUGGUUUAAAGGUUGUGGAAGCCUCUAUUGUUUCUGAAGAAGUUGUCCUAGAAAUUAUUGCUUCAGAUUCUCUAAAUUCUGGUCAAACAGGUAUAAAUAUGAAUUUAUUCUCUGAAUUCUGGUAAAACAGGUAUAAAUAUGAAUUUAGUCUCUGAGGAUGAUUUUUAUUGCACCUCCCUUAACCAAAUUUCUCUAACCCUAACACCAGUUCCCUCACCUAAAAAUACAUUUCUCUCUACUAAUGAACUCACUGGUGUUCAAAAUCAGCUAGUUGAAUUCUUUGCUUCUAAACAACCAUCUCCCUUACACACAAUGCUCGAACUGCCCAUAGAUGUUUCUAAUGGGAAAGCUACAUCAUCUAGAUCUAAGUCAGAGUAUGAUGUAAUUGGAUUUUAUGCUCAUCUUGACCUAAAAUCCUCAAAAGCUUCACCUGAUAUCAACCCUAUUAUUACUAUUCCCAUCCAAGUGGUCUCACUUUCAGUACAAUCCUCUCACCAAACAUGUUCUACAUCUGAAGCAUAAUGUUAGUUCUAAGUGUUGGCAACAAUUUUGGUAAAGCAAAGAGUGUUCACAAGAUGUUAUGUGUGAUGUCUUAACAUAAGAUAUCCUGUGUACCUGCUGGAGUUCAAGAACAUGAUCAUGCAGGAUUGUUUCAGAAUUUCAUACACAAUGUCAUGGCUUCUGAUAAUGUGUUCCUGCUGGAGUUGAAAUAGAAAACAUAAUUAUGCAGGAUUGUAUCAGGAUGUCAUACACGAUGUCAUGACAUCUGAUGUUUUGUACCUGCUGGAAAUUAUAAAAGGAAUUAUGGAAUUAUGCAGGAUUGUUCCAGGAUGUCAGACCCGAUGUCAUGACAUCCUGUACACAGAACAUUCAGUAUGAAUGUCUGGUGUUAUUGUGAUUGCACAAUUAAUGGCAAUCUAUGUAUGAUUGAAGAUCUGAUUUGCAGGCGCAUUCAAUCAUAGAUUACAACCUGAUUUACUUAUUCUCCAGAGGAAAUCUAACCGGCUGUUAUGAAAGAUUUAAUUGGAAAAUAGAUUUAGGGUUUUCAAGAUGUCCAAGCCCAGCUGAAUGCUUCUCUAAAUAGGACAUGGAAAACCUGAUUUGGAAUACAACAAUACUGAGCGAAAUAUAGAGAGAGAGCUAGGGUUUGUGUCUUGUUUAGUCGUGAGACUUGUAAGCCAUUCAAGUCAUCAUUGAUGAUUGAAUUGGUCUGAUUUGUGGUUGUAAUUUGUCACUCUAAGCUGUUAAACAAGAGUGUGUGUCUACUUGAUCAAGCUGUGAAGCUUAGAUCAAGUGUCCGUUUUCUACUUGAUCAAAUCUGUUAUAGCAAGGAUCAAGUGUGUAUGUCUACUUGAUCAAAGCUUGUUAAGUAAGAUCAAGUGUGUGUCUUUUUUUGAUUGAAACUGUGAAGUAAAACAAGAGUGUGUUAUGAAAGUGUUUUUCUUUUCUCAAGGGAUUGUUGUUUAAGAUCACAGGUGUGAUUGUAGGGAAGUGAGUAGGUUCUCAUAUCUAAGAGUGCUUAGGUAGAAAUUGCACAGGUAGAGAUUAGGUGAGAAAGACUGUAACUUAUUGAAGUGUACGGAGAGUCUUUGAACUGAUUCUAUUUAGUGGAUUUCCUUCCUGGCUUGGUAGCCCCCAGACAUAGGUGAGUUGCACCGAAAUGGGUUAACAAUUGCUUAUGUCUUUUGCAUUACCAUUCUAUAUCUUUCUUCUGUUUGUGUUACUCAGAUAUUAGUGUCGUGACAUUACCUUCGACAUCUCAUAUCUGAUACCAGAAUUCACAUAACAUGUAAUCUCUGUUCAACCAUACAUCAUCCUUCCAUCAAAAACCCAUCAAUCAUCUCAAACUUCACCCCUAACAUCCCAUUUGAGAGAACCUAGCCAUAUUCAGUGUCAACCUCUAUAACAAGUUACAUCUGAACUUUAGAUUAUAACUGAAUAAGUUGUUCAGGAUCUAUCUCUAGUCUAAAUUGCUUAUGAAUCUACAGUUGAGUCUGAACAUAUUCCUUUUGACACACUUUACCCAGAAACCUCUCUAAAUCCACCUCACUUUUCAAACUAUUCAUCUGAACCUAGAUCCUCAAAGUCAAACACUGCAUCCCUCUCUCAAACUAUCCAAACUGACAUGGGUGUAAUCAGAAACAUUCUCUUGGAUAAAAUGCAGGGUUUGAUCGAUGAGCGACCAUUUGCAUCCGACCCACUAGCAUAUGUUGCUAGGUGGGAUUCUCUCAAGACAUCUGUUGCAUCAGUUAUUCAAAAUUUGAAGGAAGCACUUCAGAGUCUAUUACCUUAUCUUGUUCUAUGCAAGAUCUUUUAGAGGGGAGUAUGGCUUCUGUCAGUAUUUCUCAACAAGACAUGACUAUCAAACAAGCUGAAAUGGAUAAGUGGAUGAAAUCUAUGGAUGCCAUGAAAGACAUCAUGGGUGCAUACCUAAGGACAAUUUUGGAUAUUCUGAAGAAACCGUAGUUUUAGGAACUGAACCAUUUUUUUAUUAAAUUGUUUCCUUUUAUGAAAUAUUAUCUUUUUCUCUCUAUUUGUUUUGCAUGUCUUAUUAUCUUGCUUAUGUUUGUUACAUUAAGCUAUAUUUAUCUGGAAAUUAUGAUCGUUCUUAUGAUAAGUGUUUGAUAAUGUUUGUGCUUAGUUAUUUUUUGGAUGAAUGCUUUUUCUGAUACUCUCUUGAUGUUUAAACAAAUUCAAAGAAGAAUCAAAACAUGCAUAAUAUAUAUCAUUGCAAAAAAACGAGGGGGAGGAAAUUUUCAUUGAUAGACUAGGAAGAUUAUAAUAGUAUGUUAGAAUAAUAUUUGGUUAUGCAUCUAGACUUUAGUUUUGAUGAUAACAAUGUAUUGCUUCUUAUAGAACAAUUUUAUGCACUAAUGGUUUUUAUCUAGUUUGUAGCUUUUGCUAACAGAUUCUGACUCUGAAGCAAUGACGUGUGACGUCAUCAUAUUCUAGAAUCAACACACUCUGACUCUGAGAAGAUACAAGUGCUUUACAAGAUGCUGUCAAGUUUUAGAAAGCUCUUAGACAACAGUUCUGAUGAACGUUUAUGUUAAAGCUUCUGACUGUGAAUCUGAUUGAAGAUCCUCUAAAGGUUUAUAUGCCUUCAAGAUUUUGCGCUCAAGUUUUGAAGAUUCUGAAGAACAAGAUCUCAAGACUCUGAAGACCAGAUUUUGAGGAACUAUGUCAAGACUCUAAAGACCAAGGUUUUGAAGAUUCUAUCAUCUUGUCUCUUGAUCCUUCUAAGCAUGCUUCAACAUCAUUUCAUCAGAAGCCUCUAAAGAUUUGAAGAUAAGAUCAAAAGGUUUUGCGUUAGAAAAAUAGUACACAGUACAAGAUCAACCUUUUCUCCACUACGCUGAUUUUGUGGGAUAAGGAUAAUACUAUUAUACCAUUUUGCCUCCUAUAUGUAAACUGUUAUGAAAGAGACAACUGCAAUUCAAUAUUCCAAUUCUACCCUCCAACCGUUCUUUUAUAUGCCUAUAUAAAGGAUACUUGAAGAUUGGAAUAAACUGCUAAUUCAUUACGCUCAUAACUACACUAUUAUACAUGCUCUUGCUGAAAUCAUAUUAUUUAUGUGUAUAGUUUUGUAAACAUGCAAGAGUUUUUGCUCGUUACUGUGUGAGAAAUAUUUAUUGUAUUAACUUGUGUUAAUCUAUUUUCUUAGAAGCAUUCUUUGUGAACAUAACUUGUAAAUCUCAAAUUUGUUUGAAUGGUUUCCUUGAGUGACUAAGUUUUAGUCAGAUAGACUCAAGAAGAUAAAGAUGGUUUAUCUUUGUGGUGUUUGUAAUAAGGUUUUGGUUAUAGUGGAUUAAUAUGAGAAGGCAAAAUCAUCUUGGUAGGGUGGACUGGAGGUAGCUUUGUUAAUAACGAACCAGUAUAAAAAUAACUUUUUUAUUUUUCUUGUUCGUGUUUUUGCUUGAUUGAGUUGGUUUUGAAUUUUUUAUUUAUUCUUAGAAACCUAAUUCACCCCACCCCCCCUUUAUUGUGUUUCUUUCCACCUUCAUAGUCAUGGUGUAAGGUUUGCACUACAAAAUCUGAUGGCGAUUUAGGUAUUAAACACUGUCAAUCUUCCAACUUGGUUCUAAUCCGUAAUUGGUUGUGGAAAAUUGUUGACAAUCACAGAGCCUCCUAGAGUCAAGUUCUUUCCUUUAAAUAUGGAGAUAUCAAGUACCUUUUUCUUGAUCCAGAUAUCCCUUUUUCAUCAAAAUAUUCCUCAAUCUGGUGGCGUGAUCUUAGAAGCGUAGUAACUGCUUCGGGUAGUUAAGACAAUUGGUUUCAAAGCAUCAUUUCCUCUUAAAUUGGAGUACGUUCUAAAAUCGAUUCUUGGCGGUCCAACCUCUAAGAAUGCAGAUUAUGGCUUUAUUUGAUCUUUUUCAGCAUCAACGACUAACUGCUUGUGAUGAAGGUACUUGGUCCUCCCUUGGUUGGACUUGGAACCUUGGUCUUGAUCCUUAUUCUCUCUUCGCAGACCAAAAUUCAGAAUUCCAAGUCCUUCUCUCACUUUUUCACUCCAUAUCUCUAGAUCCUCUCAUUCGAGACACUUCAAUUUGGUGGUUGAACGCGACAAGAUUUUCUUCAAAAUCAGCUUACAAAAUUCGGUAUGUUGCUUUUGUUGUUGUUUCUUUGCAGGUUCUAAAUCAAGCUACGACUUUGGCAAUUUUGUGGAAAACCUUGGGUCCAACUAACAUUCACUUCUUUUCUUGGCGAUUGUUUUUGCGUAGAUUUCCAACAAGGGACGAACUAGCCAAUAAAGGAAAUCUAGUUGAAGCCCACAACCUUGUUUAUACCCUUUGCUUGGGUCAAGUGGAAGAUUUAAACCACCUUUUUCUCUUCUGUCUGGUAUCUUCUCAAGUGUGGUUUUCUAUUAUGUUGGUUGGGAUUGGAUUCACUUCCUACCCAAGAUGAUAUUCUUUCCCACUUCAUUGCCUUCGAUACAUGUUACAUAGGCAAGAAAAAAAAACUCUGUCUUCUUCCUUGAUUGGCUGUCGUCUGGUGCAUUUAGCAUAUUAGAAAUGAGACGCUUUUUAAAGAGGAUCAUAAAGGUGUAUUCGAAAUUGUUUCGCUAGCUAAAAAAUUGGAUUGAGAUUAACUUGAUGUUAGGCACAUUUUGUUGUUAGCUUGGAGGAUUGGAAUCAUAAUCUUAUAAUUUGUUUUACGUCAUUUUUCGGUUGUUUGUUGGAUUUUUCUCUUUUAUUGUAUCGUAUGGGUUGAGUACCCUUAAUAUUUAAUUUUAAUACAAUAGUUUACUUAUAAAAAAAUCACAACUUGUCAACUAACAAAAUAUCAUGUUCUAAUUUUUUUUUUCAUUUAACAAUGUCCGACACAAAGGGUCUGUUUGAAAUGUUUCUUAAACACUCUUUUUUAGUUUUUGAAAUUUUAAAAUUUUAAAAUUUGUUUGAAUAUAAUGUUUUGCAAAAGUGUUUUUAAAAACUCUUUUUUAUUUUUUAGUUUUUAAAAGCAAAAAAGUGAAAUAGUUUAGUUGUGUUUUGCUUCUUACUUUUUAGUAUUAUAAAGCUUGAAGAAAAAACAUAAAAAUUUAUAAUUUUCAUUAAUAGCAUUAAUGUAAUUUUAAUAAUUUUUAUAUUUUAAAAAUAAAAUAGAAAAACGUAUUUGAAAGAGUAUGUUAUUUCUUUUAUUUAUGCUGUCCUUUUUAUAUAGUAAGGAACCGUUUUCAAAAUAUGUUGUAUUUAUUUUACCUUAAUUUUUUGUUUUCUUAAUUAAUUUUCACUUCAAAUAUUUUUUUUUAUUCUAUAAAUGUGGAACUCACAUUUUUACAUUUUUUUUUUCUUCAUUAUUUAUACAAACCAAGUGUUAUGUGAUUUCAAUCACCGGAAAGAUUGGUGAACUAUGCUAGAGCGGGAGUUGGGCGGGAGCGAAGCCAGGAGGAAGAUCUGGUGGAGGCUCCAGCAGGGCGAUAAAAGUGCGCAGUGUGCAAAUCGUAAGAAAUUUUAGGUCGUNNNNNNNNNNNNNNNNNNNNNNNNNNNNNNNNNNNNNNNNNNNNNNNNNNNNNNNNNNNNNNNNNNNNNNNNNNNNNNNNNNNNNNNNNNNNNNNNNNNNNNNNNNNNNNNNNNNNNNNNNNNNNNNNNNNNNNNNNNNNNNNNNNNNNNNNNNNNNNNNNNNNNNNNNNNNNNNNNNNNNNNNNNNNNNNNNNNNNNNNNNNNNNNNNNNNNNNNNNNNNNNNNNNNNNNNNNNNNNNNNNNNNNNNNNNNNNNNNNNNNNNNNNNNNNNNNNNNNNNNNNNNNNNNNNNNNNNNNNNNNNNNNNNNNNNNNNNNNNNNNNNNNNNNNNNNNNNNNNNNNNNNNNNNNNNNNNNNNNNNNNNNNNNNNNNNNNNNNNNNNNNNNNNNNNNNNNNNNNNNNNNNNNNNNNNNNNNNNNNNNNNNNNNNNNNNNNNNNNNNNNNNNNNNNNNNNNNNNNNNNNNNNNNNNNNNNNNNNNNNNNNNNNNNNNNNNNNNNNNNNNNNNNNNNNNNNNNNNNNNNNNNNNNNNNNNNNNNNNNNNNNNNNNNNNNNNNNNNNNNNNNNNNNNNNNNNNNNNNNNNNNNNNNNNNNNNNNNNNNNNNNNNNNNNNNNNNNNNNNNNNNNNNNNNNNNNNNNNNNNNNNNNNNNNNNNNNNNNNNNNNNNNNNNNNNCAAAUAUCAAUUAAUUUUCUUAAGUUUGUAAUAUUUUAUACAAUAAAAUAGAUUUUAAAAAUAAAUGAUAAAAUAUGCAUUUUUAUUCUCUUCUUAAAAUACUAUUAAAAGAUUAGAUUAUCAAACAAAUUUUUUCAUUUUCAUAUUUUCAAAACAGUUUUUAAAAAUUAGUUUAUCAAACAAAUUUUUUGUUAAUUUUCUUCUUAAAGAUAGUUUUUUAAAAUAGAUUUGAAAAAUAAAUUUUAAGAACUAAAAUUGAAAAGUGUUUCAAACAGGCCCAAAGUUUCUUGAGGUGUUUUUACACUUUUUUUUCUUAAAUCCAAUUUUUCUCUUUCAUACAAUUUUAUAAAAUUUUCUAAAGUUAUUUAUCAAGUUUAUUCAAUCAUUCAAUCCUAAAGUUAUGUAUUAAUUUAUUAUAAAUUUGGAAAAAAUUCUAUACAGUAAAUUUUUUUUAAGAGUUGUAAUAAAACUUAAAUAAAAAUAAAACAUUUUUUAAUAAUAAACUUUUACUUCUUAGAGUUAGACAACAAUGUAUUCCCUUAUUCAAAUCGAGGUGCAGUGAGCUUUUUAAAUUACUUAUCUUGAGUAAGUGAUUAGAAGUUGCGAAAAGAGUUUCUCAAAUUGAAAUUCUCUCAAAUCAAUAUGUUUUUAAUACAUUGUUAUUGUUGUAAGAAAUGUUGUUAUAUAUUUUUUCUUAACUCAAUUCUACAAGUUUAUCUGUUAAAACUAACCCUAUUUAGACUACGUCUCAAAGUAACGUGUGAUUUGUACUUUUCUUAGAUGCUUCUUUGCGUCAAAGAAAAGAAACAUUGUUUUAUAGCCAAAAAGUAAUCACUACGCCAAAUAAGGGAAAAAAUGACGCUUUUUUUGGCCUAUAACAGCGCUUUAAAGCGCCCUCUAAUCUGGCGCUAGCAUAGGUAAAGACAGCGUUUUUUUUCCUGGUGAAAGCGCUCUCUAAAGUGGCUCUUUAAGCCCUUUAAGGGCCACUUUAGAGGGCGAUUUUUAAAGAAAGCGCCCUCUAAAGUGGAAACUUUUAAGGGUUUAGAGGGCGCUGUUUACUGCUGAGAAGCGCGCCUCUAAAGUGGAAAAGCCGACUCUUUGUUUAAGGUUGUUUCGAUGGGCGGCUUGUUACUGGAAGAGCGCCCUCGGUAGAAGGUGGGAAAAUUUAUGAAAGGUUGGUUAGGAGGGCGCGUCGGAUUUUGGAAAGGCGGCCCGUCGGUAGGAGAGGUGGGUGUCUUAUUUUUUUAUUAUUUUGUAAAAAGCGCUGAAAUUGAGGUGUUGGUAUGUUUUGGUUAGACAACGUGUAAUAGGUUGAAGCAGGCUAAGCCGUAUAAACUGUAUAGAUUGUGAAGCCCUGUUUUCACACGAUGUGCAUGUAUAUAAGCGGUGUAGUAUACGAAUCAGUCCGUAGAUAUACAAACAAUCUGCAUCUAUAUAUAAUCUUGUGUACGUUCUAAAGAUUCUAAUAUAGCAGGAUUCUCAAUUCAUUAAUCUAAUAUAAAAUAAAAUUAAGUAGCAAAGACAUCUUCGAAGAUAUGCUUUUUUGGCAGGCUAGGCUAUGUCUUUCUUAGCAAUACAUACCUCUUUUUGUUCUGAUUAUCAUAUUAGCAUUUUUAUAUUUUUUUUUUACUAAUAAUACAUAGAAAAGUUUAGGUGUAUAUAUAGAUUUCAAGAUUAACAUUUUCUUAAUGCAUAAUCAUAUUAUUAUUGUUGUUAUUCCUUAUUGUCAUUAUUCACUCUGAUUGCUGUAAAUAAAUUAUCUCAUUUUUAACUCUGUAAUUAAAUGAAAUUAAGAUCUUUUUUGGGACUCUUGUUCUUCUUCUUGUUUUUUUUCUAUUCUUAUUUCUCUCUUUUCUUUCUUUGGUUUUUGAUAUUAUUGUUUUUAUUUCAUUGUUCUUUUUAUGUAUUUACACAGGACGGUUUGGAUUGAUGCCAAAUGGACCCUCGCAUUAGGAUAUUUCUAAUCAUAUGAAAUCAUUUUUUUGAUUAUUAUUAUUUAUUUUUUCUUUUCUUAUAUACUUAUAUACUUAUUAAUUAUUACUACUUCUUUGUUUAUUUGUAUAUUUCUAAUCAUGUGAGAUAAUAUUAUUAUUAUUGAUUGUAUUAAUCAUACUAUUUGGUCAAUCUAACUUUUCAUAUGUUGUAUUUCUUAUUCUUAUUGUCUGUUGUCUAUUCAAUUUAUGUUAAGUAUACUAUAAUAUAUCUUUAUCUAUUUAGAUAUUGUAUAUAUCCUCCUUUUAUGUAUUGAUGUUGUAUUUUCUGUGUUAUUCUCUUCUAUUGUCUGUAUACGUUCUUUUUCUUCAUCCUUGCUCUGACAUGGUUUAUCUUUGUCAUUGUUAUUGUAAUUAUUAUUAUUUUGUUUCCUUAUCCCCUUCUCUUUUGUAUAUAUUUAUUCUUUUUUUUUAUUGUUUUCUUCUUGUAUUCUGUGUUAUAUUUUUCUCUGUUUCUUUUUUUUCAUCUAUUCUAUUUUUAUAUUAUAUUGUUAUCUCUUAUUCUAUUUUUAUAUUUAUUUCCAAGUUUUUUUCAUGUGUUAUUCUCUAGUCAUUAAUUUAUAUUUUCAUAUAUGUAUUAUUUGUUUGGUUCAUUUAUUUAAUUACUCAUAUAUUGUUUCAUGAUAUUUCUUGAUUAUUUCUGUUGGUUUCUUUUUAUAUGUGUCAACAGAACUAAAGAUUAGUUAUAUCAGUUGUAAUCACUUUUAUGCCGGUGCUUCAUAGAAGCUGCAUAGAUUUAAGCAAAUACAUAAGGAAGUAGCAUAGCAGCAUCACUCACCCUCACAAAAAAUGUAGCCUGGUUUACAGCUCGGAGGGCACAGGUUAUAUAAUGGCACCAAGAGCAGUAAUCAUUCAAGUCCACCCUUUUAAAGAACAAGACGCGCCGCCGACCAAUCUGUAAACAACCACUUUCACAUUGGAGACACUAGUACAUAACAAUGUAAUUCCACCUAACAGCAAACAACAAAAAAAGGAGAGAGACACUACCCAACACUAAGUAGCACAAAAGAGAUAAUCCGAAGCGCAUAUUGAAUAAGAUUCUUGCUUCUGGGAAGUAUUAACUUGUUUAGAUUAAGCCAAUGAUGCUGACGGCGAGUCAAAAUGACAAAUCCAAGAAGAAAUCCUGAUGUAAACCCUCCAAUGUUACUAAAAUUACUUCCAAAUGGAAAAGUUCCAAGACUAAGUCCAAAACUAUGAUCACAACAAGAAUCAACAUCUCAAUAAAUGCAAACCAAUAACAAAAAUAUAUCUAUUAGACACCAUCAUUGAGCUUAAUAACUUAUAAACCUAUUUAUUUACCUAUGAGUAUGCAUUUCCCAAUUUGUUAAAACUCUGAUAGCAUCACUCCUAGUAAGCCGAAUAUUGCACAGAAAUGCACCAACGUAGAUGAAUUGAAUGGAGGAAUAAAACACACAGCAAAUUUCCUCCCAAACCCGAUAUCACAUACACCAAUCCAAUUCGAACUAAAAAAGCAAGUAAAACAGUUAUCAUAUUCAAAAUUGGCACAUAGAAGAACCAGACGCCAAUAACCAGAACCUUACCAAAACCAAAUUUCUUCUUCAAGAGGAAUUUGAAGAUUAGAAAAUGAACAAUAGCGAACGUCAGAAGAGAAACCAAGUAAUAUGAAGAUUAGAAAAAUACCUAUGGUGUCAAAAUCGAAUAGCUAACAACGAAUUAAUAGAAGGAGGAAACGUCGUAGAUCUAACAGAGUGAAGGAGAACGCCUUAGAAGUAGCGAAAAUCGUAGGCAGUGAGAACCUAACGUGAAAAGAACGAAAAUAACAGAGAGAUGAAAUAACAAAACGGGCAUUAUGUAUAAUUUUAAUGUUUACUAAAGGGGACCUUAGAGGGCGCUUGUGGAAAAAAAGCGCCCUCUAAAGGGGCCUAAGAGGGCGCUUAUGAAAGCGCUCUCUAAGGCUUUCCAAAAACGCUUUAUAAACUGGAAAUGCACAAUGGACUUAUAGAGCGCUUUUUUAAAAGCGCCCUCUAAGGGUAACCUUAGAGGGCGCUUUCUAAAAAGCGCCCUGUAUUGUUGUCCCUCUAUCUCCUCCUUAUUUUUUUGCUUCACCUUAGAGAGCGCUUUAUUAUAAAAGCGCCCUCUAAAGUGCGCUGUCUAUUCCAGUUGUUCGCUCCUUAUUUUUUCGCUUAACUUUAGAGUGCGCUUUUGUAAUAAAGCGCCCUCUAAGGUGCGCUGUCUAUUCCAAUUUUUCGCAUAGUGAAUGAUUAAAAAUAUAAAAACUAUUAAAUAUUAAAUGAAUAAUUGAAAAAGUGAAGAUAUACAUUAAAAAAUAUAAUUAUCUAUAAUACUGAUACGCACUUAUGAAGUUUUUUUUUGUCUGUGGAUACAAUAUCAAAUAUAAUAUUCACACAUAACUAUUUAGCAUUCUAGUUUAAACCACCACUGAAAAUCUUUAAUCUAGCAAUAUUGAUAUUGGUUAUAUAGUUAUUUUCUAUCAAAUUUAUGAUAGGUUAGUUUAGUGAUAAAAAUUCAUUGACUUUUAUUUUAACCACCUAAAAAGUAAUACAAACGGAUGAUUGUGAUGCAUUGACAGUGUAAAACUUUUUAUACUGAAAAUACAUAACAAUUAAUCUCAUAAUAAUAAUAAUAAUAAUAAUAAUAAUAAUAAUAAUAAUAAUAGAUCGAGCUUAUCCCUUUAAAUCAAGAAUAUUUGUUUCUUGCAAGGGGAAAUCACCAACCUUAUCACAACAUUACUAAAAUUGGAAUGUGAUGCAAAAGAUGGCCAUAUCCUUCGCAUCGUGCUAUCAUUAGGAGCAUUAAUCUUAAUAAAUUAUAUAAAAGUACAAUAACAUGCUAUAAUAAACUAAUCAAUAAAGAAACAAGGAUAACUUCAACAAUAUCGCUUUAUAUAAUGCAACUAAUAUAUUCUUUAACACAUAUUUUUUGUGAGCAUAAUUUUUUAUUGAUCAAAAGUUAAUAUAGAUCGCACUAUAAGGUCAACAUGAUUUGAUCGGAUUUAUAUGAAUUUUAAUAAGGACAAUCUUUUAAUAAUAAAAUAAAAUGUGAUAGAAAGUAUAUUGUUAACAUUUCUCUUGUCCAUGAUUACGGAUGAUAAUAUAAAGAAUUUUGACUGUAAUAUUGUCUUUAUAUACGUGGUUUAAAAAAAUUCUCAUAUUUGAAUCAUAUUUAUUUGUAUCCGUAUGUAUGAGUAUUCACGUAUCAAUAAAUAUAUUUAUCUAUUAUCUAUAUUUUUAAUAAAAAAUAGUGGGAUAUCAGUGUGUUCGUACGGAUACUGAUCUAUUAUGUGCAUUUGUUUUUAAAAUAUAACAAUAAUGUAAAAAAAAUUAAAACAAAAUUGAUUUAUCAAAAUAAUUUAUCAUUUAAAAAAAUAAUAUAUAUUUUGAAUUAUAUACAAAUAUAUAAUCUAAAAAUAUUUGGAUGAACCAUAAUUUUUGUUUUGACAUUAUUUAUAAAAGUAUUUGAAAAAAAACUUAUCCCAAUUUAUGAAAUAGAAAGACAAAAUUAUUUAAUCAAGAAAGUUUAUUAUUUUCAAAAGAAAACAUAUUUUUAUUUAUAUUUAAAACAUACAUAUAGUUUUUUCAUAUAUACAAACAUUUGGAUCAAUAAUAUAUUUUCUCGUAUGUAAAUAUUAAUUUUGUUUUGACAUUAUUUAUAAAAAUAUUUAUACAAUCAUUUAAUUUCAUAAAUAUCAACCAAUAACAUAGUAUUUGUAAAUAUUUUUUUAAUUAUAUAAAUAAAUAUUAGUAACAUAAAUAGAUACAUUCCCGCUCAAGUGUGAGUCUACGAUGCUCCCCCUCAAGUGAAAGUUCUUCUUACUUCCACAAACUCGUGUACCGCACGGAAUAUUUCUUAUUCACCACACUAGUGCCGUUGACUUUCGAUACAAGUAAGUCGGUUCUUUUCUCGAACCAAAGGCUCUGAUACCAUUUGUUGGGGGAGUUUUUCACUAGGGACAUUGAAUAUUGUGGGACUUCUUCUUUUAGAGCAACACCUUU